rnacentral:rRNA from 1 species
AUUGAACGCUGGCGGCAGGCCUAACACAUGCAAGUCGAGCGGAUGAAGGGAGCUUGCUCCUGGAUUCAGCGGCGGACGGGUGAGUAAUGCCUAGGAAUCUGCCUGGUAGUGGGGGAUAACGUCCGGAAACGGGCGCUAAUACCGCAUACGUCCUGAGGGAGAAAGUGGGGGAUCUUCGGACCUCACGCUAUCAGAUGAGCCUAGGUCGGAUUAGCUAGUUGGUGGGGUAAAGGCCUACCAAGGCGACGAUCCGUAACUGGUCUGAGAGGAUGAUCAGUCACACUGGAACUGAGACACGGUACAGACUCCUACGGGAGGCAGCAGUGGGGAAUAUUGGACAAUGGGCGAAAGCCUGAUCCAGCCAUGCCGCGUGUGUGAAGAAGGUCUUCGGAUUGUAAAGCACCUUAAGUUGGGAGGAAGGGCAGUAAGUUAAUACCUUGCUGUUUUGACGUUACCAACAGAAUAAGCACCGGCUAACUUCGUG